GGGGCAAGGAUUAGGGUUUCCAAAUGUUAGGCUAUUUGGGUUUUUUUGUUUGGGUUAGUGUAGGUAUUGGGCUUGGGGUAUUUGGGUUUUAAGUGUUUAGGUUAGUUUGGGUUUUGAUAUAAAUGGGUUUAAGUGGGUCUGAUGGGUUAAGGUUUGGGUAGUGGGUCUGGUUGUAAUUGGGUUUUGGGUAUUUGUAUUCGGGCCUAGGCAAUGGGUCAUUUGGUUAUUGGGCCAUUCGGGUUUGAUUGUAAACAGGCCAAAAUUGGCCUAC
rnacentral:lncRNA from 1 species